UCUUCCCUCUUUCUUUCUGCUUCCCCCCUGCACGUCGACCGGACUCUUCGGAGUUAGUGGCGGACGGGUGAGUAACGCGUGAGAAUCUGGCUUUGGGUUCGGGACAACCACUGGAAACGGUGGCUAAUACCGGAUGUGCCGAGAGGUAAAAGAGAAAUUGCCUGAAGAUGAGCUCGCGUCUGAUUAGCUAGUUGGUGAGGUAAAGGCUCACCAAGGCAGCGAUCAGUAGCUGGUCUGAGAGGAUGACCAGCCACACUGGGACUGAGACACGGCCCAGACUCCUACGGGAGGCAGCAGUGGGGAAUUUUCCGCAAUGGGCGAAAGCCUGGCGGAGCAAUACCGCGUGAGGGAAGAAGGCUCUUGGGUUGUAAACCUCUUUUCUUAGGGAAGAACAAAAUGACGGUACCUAAGGAAUCAGCAUCGGCUAACUCCGUG
rnacentral:rRNA from 1 species